rnacentral:rRNA from 1 species
UACGUAGGGACCAAGCGUUGUUCGGAUUUACUGGGCGUAAAGGGCGCGCAGGCGGCUCAUUUUGUCAGGCGUGAAAGCCCCGGGCUUAACCUGGGAACUGCGUUUGAUACGGAUGGGCUAGAGUUCGGGAGAGGAGAGUGGAAUUCCCAGUGUAGAGGUGAAAUUCGUAGAUAUUGGGAAGAACACCGGUGGCGAAGGCGGCUCUCUGGACCGAUACUGACGCUGAGGCGCGAAAGCGUGGGGAGCAAACAGG